AUUGAACGCUGGCGGCAGGCCUAACACAUGCAAGUCGAACGGUAACAGGAAGCAGCUUGCUGCUUUGCUGACGAGUGGCGGACGGGUGAGUAAUGUCUGGGAAACUGCCCGAUGGAGGGGGAUAACUACUGGAAACGGUAGCUAAUACCGCAUAACGUCGCAAGACCAAAGAGGGGGACCUUAGGGCCUCUUGCCAUCGGAUGUGCCCAGAUGGGAUUAGCUAGUAGGUGGGGUAACGGCUCACCUAGGCGACGAUCCCUAGCUGGUCUGAGAGGAUGACCAGCCACACUGGAACUGAGACACGGUCCAGACUCCUACGGGAGGCAGCAGUGGGGAAUAUUGCACAAUGGGCGCAAGCCUGAUGCAGCCAUGCCGCGUGUAUGAAGAAGGCCUUCGGGUUGUAAAGUACUUUCAGCGGGGAGGAAGGGAGUAAAGUUAAUACCUUUGCUAAUUGACGUUACCCGCAGAAGAAGCACCGGCUAACUCCGUG
rnacentral:rRNA from 1 species